rnacentral:rRNA from 1 species
AUUGAACGCUGGCGGCAUGCCUUACACAUGCAAGUCGAACGGUAACAGGUCUUCGGAUGCUGACGAGUGGCGAACGGGUGAGUAAUAUAUCGGAACGUGCCCAGUCGUGGGGGAUAACGGCAGCGAAAGCUGUGCUAAUACCGCAUACGAUCUAUGGAUGAAAGCGGGGGAUCGGCAAGACCUCGCGCGAUUGGAGCGGCCGAUAUCAGAUUAGCUAGUUGGUGGGGUAAAAGCUCACCAAGGCGACGAUCUGUAGCUGGUCUGAGAGGACGACCAGCCACACUGGAACUGAGACACGGUCCAGACUCCUACGGGAGGCAGCAGUGGGGAAUUUUGGACAAUGGGCGCAAGCCUGAUCCAGCAAUGCCGCGUGCAGGAUGAAGGCCUUCGGGUUGUAAACUGCUUUUGUACGGAACGAAACGGUGAGCUCUAAUAAAGCUUGCUAAUGACGGUACCGUAAGAAUAAGCACCGGCUAACUACGUG